rnacentral:misc_RNA from 1 species
ACAGUAUGAUCACACCAGGGCAACAGCUAGUGACAGUGGCCUCGCCUUAUUUCAUUGGGUGGUAGAAACCUCCCACACAGCAUUUCGCAGGGUAGCUUCCAACAUCUCGUUCUUCCUGUGAACAUUUCGCAUCCCACAAGCCUCGUCUCUUGUGGGCACUUUUUGCAUUUGCAUUUCACGUCUAUGUGAACACCCUGCAUUUCAUGAUUCACGUGAUCUUGAACAUCCUUGCAUAUUGCUUAUUGACCGCGCUUGGUUCUGAUCUACUACCAGGCACUCGGUUCAACACCACAACUGCUUCUUCACUCAGAGCACUACAAGCAGUUUUAUCUCCCAUAAAUGAUUCAAACAAAUAUAUUGUAGUUUUGGGCUUCGGU